rnacentral:lncRNA from 1 species
UGGUAAAGAUCGACUUUUGAGGUGAGUGGGUACACCACUUUCGAAACUAUUUUAAAAUGUAAAGUUGAAAGCAUGGUUGAAUCAUUUGAUGGAUUAUUGAUGAGCAUGUUUUCCAUAAAUAAAAAUGUGUUUAAGCAUGAGAAAAUGUUUUCAAAAUGGUUUUUAAAACUAUUAUGAAUAAGUAAAUAUCCUACUAUGUAGUAGUUUUCAACAAGAGGGGAUAAGCUCUUUUAAUGUUUUGAACAUUUCCUUAGAUUGCUUCAGCCUCUAGGCUAGUGUGGGUACGAGAUGUUAGAAGAGAUAGUGUUUGUGAUUGAUGAAAAUGCUUUUGUGUGUGAGUAUUGUGAAUGUGAAUUGAGUUCUCCACUUUACCAUGACUUAUGGAAUUGAUAUGAUUUGCUAUGUGUUAGCUUUAAAAUUAUUAUAGUUUUGAUUAUGACAAAAUGAUCAAAUUUGCUUGAACAUUAUUUGAGUAAUCUUUGACAAUUUCUUGAAAUGAUUUAACUCCCAUACAUUUGUUCUUAUAUAGACACAAGCUUGACUCUUGAAGUUAUUGAACUAUAUCUAUAAGCUUGUAUGACUUAGGUGUAUAAGUGCUUAUGAUUCUCAUUCAUUAAAGUUUGAUUUAAAGAUUAAAGGAAAAUCUUGAUGCACUCAUUAAGGGGGAGUUUUGAAUAUCUUGCUUAAUGAUGAAAAAGAAAAAGGAGAGAAAGAAGACUAAGUUAAAUAGAGUUAAAUAGGUCUUCAUGUUUAAUUUAUGUGUGUGAUGCUCAGUUUUGGUUUUGUUGAAUAUUAUGUAAAGAAAAGUAGAUACAUUGACUAAGGGGGAGCACCUCAUUAUGCAUAAAGAUUUGAAGCAUUCAUAUUGAACAUAGACAUUACAUUCUUAAUUUUGGAGUGUUUUAUGAUCAUAAAAAAUAAGAGAUAAAGAAUGUUGACUUUAUAUGUUUUUGAUGAUAGCAAAAUAUUCCCAUUCAUUGAUGACUAAUUAUAUUGUUUAAGUGUGUAGGAGAAAGCUUAAAUCAUUAAUAUAUUUGGUAUUUGUAAGCAAGUCAAGAUGCUUGUUCAGUUGCAAGAUGGGUUAAUUGGUUAAACAAGCAAAGAAGAAAGAGCUACAAUUGAGUCACAAAACAGAAGCCUCUUAGUCGGAUGAUGAUAAGAGUUAGUCAGCUAAAAUUUGAAUCAGAAGUUGGCGGGCUUAAGAGAUUGAGAAACAGAAAAGACUUAGUCGACCAAGAAAUGGGUUAGUCGACCAAAAGCAUAUUGCCAAAAAUCUGGACUUCAAGACAAAAACAACUUAAUCGACUAAGAAGGAAGUUAGUCGAUUAAGAGCUCAUUGCCAAAACUGGGAUCAGAAAACAGAGACAACUUAGUUGACUAAGAGCGCAGUUAGUCGACUAAGAUUAUUUUGUCAUAAAAUUUGAAUUGAGCACUAGAAGAUAAAAUAACGGCUAAAAACGGCUAGUUUCUAUCUCCAACGGCCAGAAUUGAUUUUGCAAGCAUUUAAAACCUCUUCAACAGUCAAAAACAAGGGAAAAAAGCCUUCUAUAGUGAUUUUGAGCUUAGAAGACCAAAAACAUUCUCUUUUCACUUGUAUUUCACUCCUAUCCUUUAAAAAAGUGUUUGAGCUUAGCUUUGUACAUCUUAUAUCAGCUAGGUGAUCAAUUGUACUUCAUCUUUUCUUCAUAUCUUGAUUACUUAGAGUGUGCAAGGCACUCUAAGGGGUUGAUCAAGCUUGGGUUAGCUUGGUUGAGUGUAUAGGUUCUAACUUAGCUUAGAAAAGUU